CGGGCCUACGGGGCGCAGCAGUGGGGAAUAUUGCACAAUGGGGGAAACCCUGAUGCAGCGACGCCGCGUGAGUGAGGAAGUAUUUCGGUAUGUAAAGCUCUAUCAGCAGGGAAGAAAAUGACGGUACCUGACUAGGAAGCCCCGGCUAACUACGUGCCAGCAGCCGCGGUAAUACGUAGGGGGCAAGCGUUAUCCGGAUUUACUGGGGGUAAAGGGAGCAUAGACGGAGGAGCAAGUCUGAUGUGAAAAUCCGGGGCCCAACCCCGGAACUGCAGUGGAAAC
rnacentral:rRNA from 1 species